AAAGAGUGCAGUUUUACAUUGUUCAUAUUCAAUGUUUGACCGUUCGUCUUAUUUGAAAUUUUUUUAUGAUUAAUAUUUUUUAUUGUUAUUAUAUGAUAAAACAUGAAUAAUAUUUUAUAUGUGACUAAUUUUUUAUAAACUUUUUAAAUAAAAUAGACGAUCAAAUGUUGGACACAGAAACCAACGGCUGCACUUAAA
rfam:Oryza sativa Japonica Group DNA, chromosome 1, cultivar: Nipponbare, complete sequence.